rnacentral:tRNA from 1 species
UUUGGUAACCUUUGCGGGAUUUGUGUUUCGGCCACAAGUAGGAGUUUGUCGGAUCUCUACCAAAG